GCCGGGAUAGCUCCAGU
rnacentral:tRNA from 1 species